CUGUAUAACUGUGAUUUUCAACAAUUUCUCAAAGUCUAAAGCCCGUAAUUUCAGCAAAAAUUAGUGGAGUGGAAUGAAACUUAAACUUGAUCUGUAACUCAUCAUGGUUAACUCACAUACCAAAAAUCAGCCCAAUAUCUGAAGGCAUUUAGGAAAAAACUCUGUAUAAUGGUUUGUUGUGUUGCGGAAUGACAGAAUGACGGAAUGACGGACAAGGGUAAAACUAUACAUGCUAUAUGGCAGCGACAACUUCGUUGCAGGGCCAUAAAAAUAAAAUUUUCAUCUCGGGUGCAAAACGAAUACAUCAUACAGAGGUAAAAACAACAUUAUACACACUUGUUAAAUAUCCAUUUAGGAUUUAUACUGGAGAUAUGAAUCAUAUCAUAACCUUUCAGGUAUUCACUGGCCCCAUCAUAGAAACUACCUAUUAUGACUGUAAAGGAGAAUCUUUAUAAAUACAUUCGAUUAUGACUUAGUUGGCUGCAAAAUAACCAGUAAGACAACUCUGAAAAGACUUAAAAAAUGCCAAAAAGUUGAUAUUUGUGAGUGUUUGAUACUAGUUUUUUACAUGAUAAAAAAUCUUCAAAAAUAUAUAUUAAAGACUGGAGCAUCUAUUUUCAUUUAUAUUUCAAGGGCAUACCCAGUAUAAAACUUAUACAGAUUCCAAAGAAUUAGUUUUUUUCUAUAAAAAUGUUAAAUGAAUAGAUGAUGAGAAAAUGUAUUCAAAUAUAAGAUCAUUAUGAUAUGUAUCCUAAAACAAACAAAUAAAACAGUUACUGUGGAUUCAUUUAUUUUCGUGGGUAUCAAUUUCCGUGGAUUGAGGAAAACUUGCAUGUUCGUGGAUAUUUAAUUUCGUGGUUUCUGCAAAGUCUGCAUUCACGCCUUUGAAAAUUUAUAAUUCGUUGAAUAGUUAAAUUUGUGGUUCCCCUGUACCCACUAAAUCCACGAAAAUUGGUAUCCAAUGAAUAUCAAUGAAUCCCCAGUAUAUAACAUAAAUAAAGUAGCUCAGAUGGAAACAAAAGCUGCACUAAUAAAUCUGAUAAUAAACAUAUGGAAAAUUGAAAUUCAACAAUAAAAUUCAUCACUCUCUGGAACAAAAGCUGCACUAAUGAAUACAAUAAUAAACUUUUAGUAAAUAUAACAAGUAAUUCAUGUAUAUCUUGUUGUGUCAUCAUGAGAUGUGGGGAAUACAUAAAUGAGAAAAGAAACCAAAAAAAUAAAAAUAAACAAAAACAAAAACAACUACAGAUCAACAAACACUUUUCAACAAUCUACAGAUGUCUACUAUACAAUAUAUAUAUCAAACUCCCACUGAUGAAUCAUUACUUCUUUUUACAUUUUACUGUCAAGACAUAAAUUUAGAAAAUUAACAUACAAUUGAAUUAUUUACUUGAGAUUUAAUGGAAGAGAGUCAGUUUGCUCUUAGUUUUUCAUUUACUAAUUUAGUGUAUUUCUGCUUACUGUCAAAAUGAAAAAAAGGCAGACACUCAGGUAUUAACCUGCACAAAUCUCUUAGGUGCUGGACCUAAAUCCUAUAGAGAAUUAUAGACACUUUAAGUUGGUUGUCCUUUUUAAAGCUAAAACAUUAAUGAUUUUGACUUCUGUGAGGAAUUUUGCUUACUUUUUCCUGAAGAAACUUACACUGAUUUGUGAAAAAGAUAUGUGUAUUUCUCUUUAAAUAAUAUUGCCAAAAUUCCUUUGCAUGAUGGAAAUUUUUAGAAAGCAAUGUGAUAAAUAAAUUCAAAAAGAGGUGCAUAUAUACUCCCUUCUUGUUUAAAAUUUGUGCUAAUUUGGUUAAUUAUUGUUGAGUGUUGUGAGAGGAGCUAGCAGUUAACAAAACUGUGAAGAUACAUAAACAGCACCAGAUUACAGACAGUGAUGCAUGUGUUAUCUCUGCUAUGCAAAUGACACAUACACAAUGAUAUGGGACUUGAGUAAAUCCAAUACUUAGUUAAUAAAACUGUGAAGAUACAAAAACAGCACCAGAUUACAGACAGUGACGCAUGUGUUAUCUCUGCUAUGCAAAUGACACAUACACAAUGAUAUGGGACUUGAGUAAAUCCAAUACUUAAUAAUGCAAUGGCAAGAUAAUAUCAAAUGUAUUUAGUGUAUGUUUGAUUAUACAGUCUACACACUUAACCAAAGGGCAACCAGCCCAGGCUUGUAGCCCCCCUUUUUUUGGCCGAUCAAUGCAUUUGAAUGGGAACAUAUAGUUGGAACCCCCCCCCCCUUUUGUCCUGGGUUGGGAACCUCCCUUUUUAAAAUGGCUGGAUCUGCCCCUGUGUAGAAUGAUAAGUCUGAUAAAAAAUAUUCACUUCUACUUCUCACUCAAUAAGGCAAAUAAGUUCAUCACUCUAAUGAAGUUAAACUUGUGUACCCCUUUUUAAUAAAAUCAUUUUUGUUUAAUGUAUGAAUUAAAUAAAAAAAAAAAUAUAAGUCAUGAAAUCUAUUUCAAAUGAAUUUCUUAGAGGCAGAUUAAUAACCAGGUGCUCCGCAGGGUGCAGCUUUAUACGACCGCAGAGGUCGAACCCUGAACAGUUGGGGCAAGUAUGGACAAAACAUUCAAGCGUGAUACAGCUCUGAAUUUGGAUUGUGAUCAAAUUUUUGACAUUAUAUGUUUUUUUUUUACACAAAACAAAUGUCAAGAUUUUACAAAUCAAUUAAAGAUUUCUUCAAACUUUUUAAAUCUAAAAUUAAAUAGUUGACACAGCACAGGUUUCUGACACAGAAUGAAUGUGGUCUAAUGAACUUAAAAGUUUUUUUUUUUGC
rnacentral:lncRNA from 1 species